CGAUGAAGACUUGGCAGAACAGCUGCUGGUCUAUUCCUGUGAAGCUUGGGGUGGAAGCAACUGUCUGGAGCUGGCGGUGGAGGCCACAGACCAGCAUUUCAUCGCCCAGCCUGGGGUCCAGAAUUUUCUUUCUAAGCAAUGGUAUGGAGAGAUUUCCCGAGACACCAAGAACUGGAAGAUUAUCCUGUGUCUGUUUAUUAUACCCUUGGUGGGCUGUGGCUUUGUAUCAUUUAGGUACAAACCAAGGCACAUAAUCGUGUGUGAGUGUGUGUGCCAGUGUGUGUACAUGCAUCCACAUAUGUGUGCUCUCAUGUAAAUGAUUAAAAAGCCUGGAACUUA
rnacentral:sRNA from 1 species